GCGGGUAUAGUACAAUGGUAAUACACCUGGUUGCCAAUCAGGUUACGCGGGUUCGAUUCCCGCUACCCGCUCCA
rnacentral:tRNA from 2 species